rnacentral:rRNA from 1 species
AGCUUGCUGGUCUGAUCAGUGGCGAACGGGUGAGUAACACGUGAGCAACCUGCCCUUCACUCUGGGAUAACCACGGGAAACGGUGGCUAAUACCGGAUAUGAGACGUACACGCAUGUGUCGCGUCUGGAAAGAUUUAUCGGUGAAGGAUGGGCUCGCGGCCUAUCAGCUUGUUGGUGGGGUAGUGGCCCACCAAGGCGACGACGGGUAGCCGGCCUGAGAGGGCGACCGGCCACACUGGGACUGAGACACGGCCCAGACUCCUACGGGAGGCAGCAGUGGGGAAUAUUGCACAAUGGGCGCAAGCCUGAUGCAGCGACGCCGCGUGAGGGAUGACGGCCUUCGGGUUGUAAACCUCUUUCAGCAGGGAAGAAGCGCAAGUGACGGUACCUGCAGAAGAAGCGCCGGCUAACUACGUGCCAGCAGCCGCGGUAAUACGUAGGGCGCAAGCGUUGUCCGGAAUUAUUGGGCGUAAAGAGCUCGUAGGCGGUUUGUCGCGUCUGCUGUGAAAACCUAAGGCUCAACCUUGGGCUUGCAGUGGGUACGGGCAGACUAGAGUGCGGUAGGGGUGACUGGAAUUCCUGGUGUAGCGGUGGAAUGCGCAGAUAUCAGGAGGAACACCGAUGGCGAANGCAGGUCACUGGGCCGCAACUGACGCUGAAGAGCGAAAGCAUGGGGAGCGAACAGGAUUAGAUACCCUGGUAGUCCNUGCCGUAAACGUUGGGCACUANGUGUGGGGCUCAUUCCACGAGUUCCGUGCCGCANCAAACGCAUUAAGUG